rnacentral:rRNA from 2 species
GACGAACCGUGCGAACGUUGUUCGGAAUCACUGGGCUUAAAGGGCGCGUAGGCGGGCAUCUAAGUCCGUGGUGAAAUCCCCCAGCCCAACUGGGGAACGGCCGCGGAUACUGGGUGCCUCGAGGGGGGUAGGGGCGUGCGGAACAGAUGGUGGAGCGGUGAAAUGCGUUGAUAUCAUCUGGAACUCCGGUGGCGAAGGCGGCACGCUGGACCUCUUCUGACGCUGAGGCGCGAAAGCCAGGGGAGCGAACGGG